GGAUUCCCUUAGUAACGGCGAGUGAACAGGGAGUAGCCCAUCACCGAAGCCUGUGGUUGUUUGACCUCUAGGCAAUGUGGUGUUUAGGUUGGUUCCUGGCAUAACUGCUCUGCCCCAAGUCCAGCAAUGAGUACGGCUUACCGUUCUGGCCCAUAGAGGGUGAAAGGCCCGUGGGGGUAGAGAUCAAGCAUGACAGUUUUGCUCAGUGCUAACCUUGGAGUCGGGUUGUUUGAGAAUGCAGCCCAAAGUGGGUGGUAAACUCCAUCCAAGGCUAAAAACUUACACGAGUCCGAUAGCAAACAAGUACCGUGAGGGAAAGUUGAAAAGUACUUUGAAGAGAGAGUAAACAGUGCGUGAAACCGCUCAGAGGUAAACGGGUGGAGUUGAACUGCAAGCCCUGGGAAUUCAGCUGAUGAGUAUGAUUUGCGCUUGGGCAUACUGGCCGCCUUUCAGUGUCCGUCUAACAGCGGGUAUCCGCCUUUUUGGUGGGUAUGUGUGGUGCGCUUAUCACGUGCUGCGUGCAUUGGAAGGUGUGUGGGUCUGCUUGUCAGUGCACUUUCUCAGGGUGUUCACCACGACCGGCGCUGCCAUCUAUCUGCUGCGGCCAAACUGAUCAGGUCUGAUUAUCGUCGGGCUUGGUUGGGUCGGCAGGUGACUCACUUGUCCAUUCACUGGGCUAUGAGUGUUACUAGCCGGCUGUGGCGGAUGUGUGUGGUGCGUCGGAGUUGGCGGCUAUGCAUGCGUGCUCUGUCCUUCGGGCGAGGUUGAGUCUGGUCGGCCUGUUGCUAGCUUCGGCUGGUCGGUUGAUGGCUUGGUCUUGUUCCGUUGGCGGUUGCGUGUGUUUUAGUUUGGGCCGAUAGUCUGUGGUGUAGUGGUAGACGAUCCACCUGACCCGUCUUGAAACACGGACCAAGGAGUUUAACAUGUGCGCGAGUCAUUGGGUGUUACGAAACCCAAAGGCGUAGUGAAGGUAAAGGUUCGGCUUGUCCGGGCUGAGGUGAGAUCCUGUUGUUUUGCUCUCAAUUUCCAAGAUGCGAGCAGCAGGCGCAUCACCGGCCCGUCCCAUGACGUAGACAUGCGGUCUUGCACCGUGUGCACCGUCGGGGCGGAGCAAGAGCGUACACGUUGAGACCCGAAAGAUGGUGAACUAUGCUUGCGAAGGUUGAAGCCAGAGGAAACUCUGGUGGAGGACCGUAGCGAUUCUGACGUGCAAAUCGAUCGUAUAACGUGAGUAUAGGGGCGAAAGACUAAUCGAACCAUCUAGUAGCUGGUUCCCUCCGAAGUUUCCCUCAGGAUAGCUGGCAUUCUGAGAAAUAAACAGUUUUAUCCGGUAAAGCGAAUGAUUAGAGGCAUUGGGGAUAAAACAUCCUCAACCUAUUCUCAAACUUUAAAUGGGUGAGAAGCUUAACUCGCUUAAAUGGAGUUGUGCAUUGAAUGUGAGUGCCAAGUGGGCCAUUUUUGGUAAGCAGAACUGGCGCUGUGGGAUGAACCAAACGUGCGGUUAAGGUGCCUAACGCGACGCUCAUGAGAUACCACAAAAGG
rnacentral:rRNA from 1 species